rnacentral:lncRNA from 1 species
CUUUAUUAUAUCAAAGUAAACGAGUAACACCAAUAUAAUUUCUAUUAUCUGCGUAUUGUAUACAAUGAUAUGUCUAACUGAACUAAAGAAAAACAUUGUUCAUGUUGUUUUAGGUUGAUUAAAUUUUAACAUUAUAAAAGCUUUUGAAGUUUGAAAAUCUAAAAACCAUUCUAGAAUCGAAUUUCACUGGUUCCAUCAUUUAAGAAGCUAUAAGACGUGUUCAUGUUUCGCAUUUAUCCUUGUUUUAAUAUAAACAUAAUGCUAUAAAUCAAACUCAAAUAAGAUAUGUUAGAUAUGUAUCAGUU